rnacentral:rRNA from 1 species
CUACGGGAGGCAGCAGUGGGGAAUAUUGGACAAUGGGCGCAAGCCUGAUCCAGCCAUGCCGCGUGAGUGAAGAAGGCCUUCGGGUUGUAAAGCUCUUUCGGCAGGAACGAAACGGCGGGCUCUAACAUAGCCUGUCAAUGACGGUACCUGAAGAAGAAGCACCGGCUAACUACGUGCCAGCAGCCGCGGUAAUACGUAGGGUGCGAGCGUUAAUCGGAAUUACUGGGCGUAAAGCGUGCGCAGGCGGCUUUGUAAGACAGGUGUGAAAUCCCCGGGCUUAACCUGGGAACUGCGCUUGUGACUGCGAGGCUCGAGUGCGGCAGAGGGGGGUGGAAUUCCACGUGUAGCAGUGAAAUGCGUAGAGAUGUGGAGGAACACCGAUGGCGAAGGCAGCCCCCUGGGUCGACACUGACGCUCAUGCACGAAAGCGUGGGUAGCAAACAGGAUUAGAAACCCCAGUAGUCC